AUUGAACGCUGGCGGCAUGCCUUACACAUGCAAGUCGAACGGUAACAGGUCUUCGGAUGCUGACGAGUGGCGAACGGGUGAGUAAUACAUCGGAACGUGCCCGAUCGUGGGGGAUAACGAGGCGAAAGCUUUGCUAAUACCGCAUACGAUCUACGGAUGAAAGCGGGGGAUCUUCGGACCUCGCGCGGACGGAGCGGCCGAUGGUAGAUUAGGUAGUUGGUGGGAUAAAAGCUUACCAAGCCGACGAUCUGUAGCUGGUCUGAGAGGAUGAUCAGCCACACUGGGACUGAGACACGGCCCAGACUCCUACGGGAGGCAGCAGUGGGGAAUUUUGGACAAUGGGCGAAAGCCUGAUCCAGCCAUGCUGCGUGCAGGAUGAAGGCCUUUGGGUUGUAAACUGCUUUUGUACGGAACGAAAAGCCUCUUUCUAAUAAAGAGGGGUCAUGACGGUACCGUAAGAAUAAGCACCGGCUAACUACGUG
rnacentral:rRNA from 1 species